GUAAUCCUCCAAAUCAAAAUUAAUUCAUGUACUAAAAUACAUAAGAAUUGAAAGUAAUCCAUGAUUUUCUAACCCAAUAUUCCUUCGGCUUUAAAAGUUUAGUAAUCCAAGAUUUUAUUUUUCAAUUCUUCGUUACUAAUGAAAAAUUUCUAACCCCAAUAGCCCAUAUUCAUUCGGCAUCAAUUGUUCUGUCCAAGAUUUUUUUUUUCUUAAUAACAACAAGAAACCACAUUCCGUCGGCUUCAAUUCUUCAGUCCCAUAUUUUUUUUUAAUUCUUUUUUA
rnacentral:misc_RNA from 1 species